rnacentral:rRNA from 1 species
UACGAAGGGGGCUAGCGUUGCUCGGAAUUACUGGGCGUAAAGGGCGCGUAGGCGGCUUACAUAGUUAGGCGUGAAAUUCCUGGGCUCAACCUGGGGACUGCGUCUAAUACAUGUAGGCUUGAGUGUGAAAGAGGGUUGUGGAAUUUCCAGUGUAGAGGUGAAAUUCGUAGAUAUUGGAAAGAACACCGGUGGCGAAGGCGGCGACCUGGUUCAUUACUGACGCUGAGGUGCGAAAGCGUGGGGAGCAAACAGG